ACAAAAACUAGGCCAAGAUGGUUAAACAUCUAGAAUCAUCUAGAUCAUUUAUAAGAAAUUGGUGAAUUUUGGAUAGAAGAAGAUCACGCGCGAACAUAUUAACCGACUUCAUAAUAUUUAGAAACCGUCUUUUCUUAUUUGUGAUUCAUCUGCACCGUCGAUUGUGUCACCUAAACAAUUAUCAACCGUAGGAUCUAGCUGAAAUCCUAAACCGAUUCGGUUUUGGGUUUUGCUCCCCUCUCUGUAUAUAUAUGAAAAAAGUGGUCGAUGAUGGUUCAUCAUUCAUCGCUUCUGUAUCCUUUUAGCUUUGUUUUGCAUGCCGAUGAUUCUUAUUGCUUCCUUUAAUUAUGUUUCUAAUCUCUUUAGUGGUCGAUGAUGGUUCAAAAUUCAUCGAUUUUUUAACAUCUGAUCAAUCCUCGUUAAUGACUCUAAUAUGAUUAGCCCUUGUUGUUGAUCUUUUUGCAUCGAUUUUUCGAUUGAUCGAUUCAUCGAGAUUUUACAUAAGCGGACGGGAAUAAACAUGUUCUCAUCAAUUCUCAUCGAUCCAUUCAUCGAGCCUCGUCGAUACAUAUCAUCAUCCCUUGUUGACAUAUCUAAUCAUCAACCCUCGUUGAUCAACAAGAAGAAGUCUGUGUUGUGUAUAUCUUCUAAUGAGAGAAGGAAGGAUCUUGUAAAUGUCUGUGUUCUUUUCAUAUAAGUUUUGUUGCUUUUCUUUAUAUGACUAUCCUUUUAUAUCUCCUUAUCUAAGCGAUGAUCUUUUUUUUAAGGUUUGGUUUAUCUUGUUCUGAUUAUCCGGGAGUGUCGCUGAUCCUUAACGCUUAUUCGGGAUGGAUUGUUGAGUUUUCAGGCCUGUCCAUCGAGGUAUUAAUAUCAAGGCGCAAAGACAAAAACACAUCAGAUCAAUUCUCGUUGGUCUUAUGAUCAACUCUCGUUGGACUUAGAUCAGCUCUCCUUGGUCUUUUUAUCAUCUCUCGAUGAUCUUCCAAUCAACUCUUGAUUGUCUUAUGAUCAGCUCUCGUUGGUCUUAUGAUCAACUCUCUUGUUGGUCUUGUUAUCAUCUAUUGAUAAUACUCCAAUCAACCCUCGUUGAUCUCAUAUAUCAUCUCCCGAUGAUGCUCCAAUCAACUCUGGUUGAUCUUGUUAUCAUCUAUUGAUAAUGCUCCUAUCAACCAUCGUUGAUCUUGUUAUCAACUAUUGAUAAUGCUACUAUCAACCAUCGUUGAUCUUAUUAUCAUCUCUUGAUAAUGCUCCUAUCAACCAUCGUUGAUUUGUUAUCAUCUCUUGAUAAUGCUCCUAAUGAUCCUCCAAUCAACUCUAGUUGAUCUGAUCAUAUCAUCUCUCGAUGAUCCUCCUAUCAACCAUUGUUGAUCUUGUUAUCAUCUCUUGAUAAUGUUCCUAUCAACCAUCGUUGAUCUCAUAUAUCAUCUCUCGAUGAUCCUCCUAUCAACCAUCGUUGAUCUGAUCAUAUCAUCUCACGAUGAUCUAAUCAUAUCAUCAACUCUCGUUGAUCCUAAUCAACCCUCGUCGACAGAGAGGAAUAGUCAUAACAGUUUGAAAGGUUUUUGUUUUAUCUUUCAAACUGACCAGAGAUAGAUGUAAAAGAGAGAGUAAGGAGGGGAUAUGUCUGACCUUUGCCAUGACAGGUGCGCUUGCUUGGCAGGUCAAAAACCCUUCAUAAAAAAAGAUACAAUAAGUUUUGUUCCUGGCCCGACUCUCCUUUCCUUCGGACUGUGUGUCUUGUUACUCUCUAAUCCUUGCUGUUUCAUAUGCAUCUUGCAUACCACAAAGAGGAUCAUAAACCCCAAUAUCGAGGAUCAUCUUGAAAAACGGAGAAGUGUGAUGGGAAAGAUUGCUAGAGUAGGAUACGUGUUUGGCA